AUUGAACGCUGGCGGCAGGCCUAACACAUGCAAGUCGAACGAGUGGCGGACGGGUGAGUAAUGUAUGGGAAACUGCCCGAUGGAGGGGUAUAACUACUGGAAACGGUAGCUUAUACCGCAUACUAUCGGAUGUGCCCUGAGGGGAUUAGCUAGUAGGUGGGGUAACGGCUCACCUCGGCGACGAUCCCUCGCUGGUCUGAGAGGAUGACCAGCCACACUGGAACGGAGACACGGUCCAGACUCCUACGGGAGGCAGCAGUGGGGAAUAUUGCACAAUGGGCGCAAGCCUGAUGCAGCCAUGCCGCGUGUAUGAAGAAGGCCUUCGGGUUGUAAAGUACUUUCAGCGGGGAGGCGUUACCCGCAGAAGAAGCACCGGCUAACUCCGUGCCAGCAGCCGCGGUAAUUC
rnacentral:rRNA from 1 species